rnacentral:tRNA from 1 species
UGGGGAUUAGCUCAGUCGGUUAGAGCAUCUGACUGUUAAUCAGAGGGUCCACAGUUCAAGUCUGUGAUCCCCAGCCA